GUUCUCGUAGCUCAAUGGAUAGAGCGUUGGUUUGCGGAACCAAAGGUUGGAGGUCCGAUUCCUCUCGAGAACA
rnacentral:tRNA from 1 species